CCUACGGGAGGCAGCAGUGGGGAAUAUUGGGCAAUGGGCGCAAGCCUGACCCAGCAACGCCGCGUGAAGGAAGAAGGCUCUCGGGUUGUAAACUUCUUUUAUCAGGGACGAAGCAAGUGACGGUACCUGAUGAAUAAGCCACGGCUAACUACGUGCCAGCAGCCGCGGUAAUACGUAGGUGGCAAGCGUUAUCCGGAUUUACUGGGUGUAAAGGGCGUGUAGGCGGGAAAGCAAGUCAGAGGUGAAAACCAUGGGCGCAAACUGUGGGCUGCAUUUGAUACUGUUUUUCUUGAGUUCUGGAGAGGCAGACGGAAUUCCUAGGGUAGGGGUGAAAUGGGUAGAUAUUAGGAGGAACACCAGGGGCGAAGGCCGUCUGAUGGACAGCAACUGACGGUGAGGGGCGAAAGCGUGGGGAGCAAACAGGAAUAGAUAACCGGGUAGUC
rnacentral:rRNA from 1 species